AUGCUUGGUUUUACCCAAGUCCAUGAGCAGAGACAGCAAAAUUCACUGGUUUCAGUCUCUGGUGUGAUGGAAGACAGAUUCUAUCAGAAACAUCUCCAUGUCAUCCAGUUGGCCAAGACACCUACAGCAUGGGAAAGGCUCAGCUGGUGCAAGGGAAUCCCCAGUUGCUGUGCUGCAGAGGUGCCCUGUGUGUAUGGGAUGGAGAUGGCAGAGGUUGCAGGUACUGUGGGGCUGGAGGUGAGGGAUGGAAGGAAGAGGCCUGCUUAGUGAGUUCUGGGAAGUACCCAGGAACCACAAAGUAGAAUCACAGAAUCAUAGAAUCGUUUGGUUGGGCAGGGACCCUUAAAGGCCAUCUAGUCCAACUCCCCUGCAAUGAACGGGGCAGCUAUAGCUCCAUUAGGUGCUCAGAGCCCUGUCCAGCCUGACCUUGAGUGUCUCCAAGGAAGGGGCAUCCACCACCUCUCUGGGCAAGUAGCUUCGAAGGUGAGUGUUCCUGCAGCACCAGCUGACACAUAGCUUCCCUUACCCUGGCAAUGGUGGAGCCCCAUCUCCAGCUGCUGUAGAUCAGUGCAGUGUCACUGAUCAGAGUGGUCCUUCCUCCCAGUGCCCCAGAUGAUGUAUCCCAAGAUCUUUAGGAACCAUGCUGGCUGGGCACGAUGCUCACUGGUGGUGGGCUGCUUUGCUGUCUGCAUGCUUUCAGGUUGUGUCUCUGGUAGAUAUUUUCCCUCU
rnacentral:lncRNA from 1 species